rnacentral:rRNA from 1 species
CCCUUAGAUGUUCUGGGCCGCACGCGCGCUACACUGAUACAUGCAACGAGUUUAUAACCUUGAUCUGACGGUCUGGGUAAUCUUCAAACUGUAUCGUGUUAGGGAUCGAUUCUUGCAAUUUUUAAUCGUAAACGAGGAAUUCCCAGUAAACGCAAGUCAUCAGCUUGCAUUGAUUACGUCCCUGCCCUUUGUACACACCGCCCGUCGACUCUACCGAUUGAAUGGUUCGGUGAAAACUUUGGACUGUGGCAUUGUCCUUCAUUGGACUUCGCCGUAGGAAAUUGUUUAAACCUCAUCAUUUAGAGGAAGAAUAAGUCGUAACA